rnacentral:rRNA from 1 species
GCUUAACACAUGCAAGUCGAGCGAGAAUCGUUUAUUGAAGGCUUCGGCUGGAAAUAGAUGAGGAAAGCGGCGAACGGGUGAGUAACGCGUGGGCAACCUGGCCUUAAGAAAAGGAUAGCCCCCGGAAACGGGGAGUAAUACUUUAUGAGAAUGAAAGAGGGCAUCCUACUUCCAUUCAAAGCGCAAGCGCUUAAGGAUGGGACCGCGUAUCAUUAGCUAGUUGGUGAGAUAACAGCCCACCAAGGCAACGAUGAUUAGCCGGUCUGAGAGGGCGAACGGCCACAUUGGAACUGAGAGACGGUACAAACUCCUACGGGAGGCAGCAGUGGGGAAUAUUGCGCAAUGGAGAAGAACUCUGACGCAGCAAUACCGCGUGAGCGAAGAAGGUCUUCGGAUCGUAAAGCUCUGUUAUCAGGGAAGAGGAAAAUGACGGUACCACUAGAGAAAGCACCGGCUAACUUCGUGCCAGCAGCCGCGGUAA